GACAGAGGUCCCGAGCGUUAGGCGGAAUCACUGGGCUUAAAGCGUGUGUAGGCGGAUUUGUAAGUACCUUGUGAAAUCCCACAGCUUAACUGUGGAACUGCUUGGUAUACUGCUUAUCUUGGGCCACUUAGGGGUUACCGGAACAAACGGUGGAGCGGUGAAAUGCGUAGAUAUCGUUUGGAACGCCAAUGGUGAAAACAGGUAACUGGGAGUGUGCCGACGCUGAGACACGAAAGCCAGGGGAGCGAACGGG
rnacentral:rRNA from 1 species